rnacentral:misc_RNA from 1 species
GAACAUAUAAUCACAUAAUGCAUACGUUGAUAAUGCAACGGUUAUAUUCCCAAAACUUCAAGAUAUUACAUUUACCAUCCUUCUGAGGGAAUAACUAAAAUUUUGGCCCAUCUCCUUUCAUCGAGAAUGAUACAACAAUCUUGGAUAAGAGAAUUUAAAACCUUUGUUUUUAGGAUUGAAAGAUAGGUUGGCAUAAAAUUCCCAUGCCAAUGU